rnacentral:rRNA from 1 species
UACAUAGGAGCCAAGCGUUGUCCGGAUUGACUGGGCGUAAAGCGCACGCAGGCGGAUGCGCGCGUGGGGUGUGAAAUCUGGCCGCUUAACGGCCAGGCGCCAUCCCAUACGGCGCGUCUGGAGUGAUGCAGAGGUCGAUGGAAUUGCCGGUGUAGCGGUGAAAUGCGUAGAGAUCGGGAGGAACACCAGAGGCGAAGGCGGCGACCUGGACAAGCACUGACACUCAACUACGAAAGCGUGGGGAGCAAACAGG